rnacentral:rRNA from 1 species
GAACGCUACGGCAGGCUAAUACACUGCAGUCCAACGGUGUCUUCGGACAUAGUGGCGCACGGUGUGCGUAACACGUAUGCAACCUACCUUACAUUGGGGGAUAGCCUUUCGAAAGGGAGAUUAAUACCGCAUAAGACAGUAGCUGGGCAUCCAGCAGCUGUUAAAGAUUUAUCGAUGUAAGCUGGGCAUGCGUCCAAUUAGCUAGUUGGUGAGGUAACGGCUCACCAAGGCAAUGAUUGGUAGGGGAACUGAGAGGUCAAUCCCCCACACUGGCACUGAGAUACGGGCCAGACUCCUACGGGAUGGCAGCAGUAGGGAAUAUUGGGCAAUGGACGCAAGUCUGACCCAGCCAUGCCGCGUGCAGGAUGAAGGCGUUAUGCGUUGUAAACUGCUUUUAUACAGGAAGAAACGACUCUUGCGAGAGGCAUUGACGGUACUGUAUGAAUAAGCACCGGCUAACUCCGUGCCAGCAGCCGCGGUAAUACGGAGGGUGCAAGCGUUGUCCGGAUUUAUUGGGUUUAAAGGGUGCAGCACGUGGUUUAUUAAGUCAGUGGUGAAAGACGGUCGCUCAAACGAUUGCAGUGCCAUUGAAACUGGUAGACUUGAGUAAAGUAACGGUGGGCGGCAAUUGAUAGUGUAGCGGUGAAAUGCAUAGAUAUUCAUCAAGAACUCCCAAUUGCCGGUAGGCAGUUCAACUUGGCUUUACUCGACCACUCAUGCACGA